UACAGAGGGUGCAAGCGUUUAAUCGGAAUUACUGGGCGUAAAGCGUGCGUAGACGGUUAUUUAAGUCGGGUGUGAAAGCCCCGGGCUCAACCUGGGAAUUGCAUUCGAGACUGAAUAGCUAGGGUGCGGAAGAGGGAAGCGGAAUUUCCGGUGUAGCGGUGAAAUGCGUAGAUAUCGGAAGGAACACCAGUGGCGAAAGCGGCUUCCUGGUCCAGCACCGACGUCAGGCACGAAAGCGUGGGGGAGCAAACAGG
rnacentral:rRNA from 1 species